rnacentral:pre_miRNA from 1 species
CAACUACUCCCUCUGUCCCAAAUUUCUUGUCUUAGAUUUGUCUAGAUACGGAUGUAUCUAAUACUAAAAUGUGACUUGAUACAUCUGUAUCUAGAAAAAUCUAAGACAAGAAUUUUGGGACGGAGAGAGUACUUU